GCAGACAUUGCAAGCAGGCCAAGCACUUAUAGCUUUACAUGGCUGGAGUCAAUACUACCUCACCAAAAUUACAACUAAUGUUUUGCUUAAACCUUGCCUAAUCGCAGUGUUUUUCCCUUUUAUUAUUUCUCUUUUUGUAGGCCCAUCAGAGUGAUUUUCUGAGUUCUUUCACAUAUGCUGUAUGGUCAGCGAAUGGAUGGAUUAUCCAGUCACGGUACAGAAUGAAAGGUAAAUGGCAAGUAAUUAAGUAAUGUACUAAAUGUAUAAACUGUAGUGUAUUCAGUAGCUACUAAUCACAUUACCUCUAUCACUCUCUCUAAAAGACUUGACUGAGUUAGAAGAAGCUGGGCGACUCUUCAGAGUGAAGAUGUUAUGUGCCUGCUUUCGAACCACACCCGUGGAGAUAUCUGCCAACAAAUGGACAAUCAUUCAUGGGGCUACAGAUGGGGCUGCAUUCAAGAAUUUUCAAUAUGCAGUUAUGUCAAAGCACUCGUUUCGGCUGGCCAGAUUGGAACAGACCUGAAUGGGAAGAUGGCAGAGCUAAGACUGACAAUGUUCAGGAAAAAUGUUAACUAAAAAUGAGUGUUUUUCCUCAGCGAGUGAGUUUGGGAAUGUUUUAAAUGUGCCUAGAAGUUUGAAAAUGUAAUACUGAGGGAAAAAAGUGAGCGCUUUGAAAAGGCUUUAAAAAGAAAAUAAAGUCUGAAGUUGAUGUUAAAUGAAUUUAAAGUUUUUACUUGAAAAGUUUGUACUUGUUUGUACUU